UCUUCUUCAGCCAUGAAACCGAGAGAGGAGAUCGAGACAGAGAAGAUUAAUGGAAGAUGAUUGAAGAUAGAAAUUGAGAAGGAUUCGAAGUAGAAGAUGUGAAUGCUUCCAUCGAUUAGCAACAGGAAGAAUGGAAAUGCUCGCUGCUGUUUGAAGUGAAGAGUUAGGGUUUUGUUUCUGAAGAAUUAGGGUUCGUAGGAGUUGAACUAAUAUGGUAGAAUCUGGAGGAGAUGGGUUGAGAAUCUAAGAAGAAAUUGGUGUUACUGUUACCAUGGGUUGAGAACCAAUCGAGAAAUUAAUUAAAAAGAGGAUUUAGGGUUGUAUUUUAAGGUUUCUGAGAAUCAAUGAUGGUGAUGAAGAAUUUAUUAGGUGUUGGUUGAAUUGAAAUGGGAAAUUGUUGAUGGUCUUGAGAUGGGUAGCUGAAUCGAAUCAAAGUGAAGGAGCAAUUGAUAUCAGUUGCUUGAGUGGAACUCAUUUGAGGUAAUGGUUUUGCUUGGUUAACUGAGUAAAGUUAUAUAUAUUCAGUUCUGAGUUUACAUGAAUUGUUAAUGGAGUUGUAAUUAAGUUUGUGAUUGAAUUCAAGGGAUUGGUACAGAUUGGAGAUGCAACAGGAAUUGAGUUUUGAGUUUUGGAAUUGAUAAUGAUUUGGCUUUGCAUCAACAGUUGAGAGUAAGGGCUUGAUAGUGUUGGUCAGCUGCACUGAAAUGACAAUGAGUUGCAGGUGGUUGUUUACAAGAUAUGAAUACGUUGUUAUUGCAACAAUGGAAAUGAUUGAGACUAAGAGAGUGAUACAGAGACUGUAAUGGAGAUGCAAGCUGAGAUGAUAUUUAGACAUGGGCCGGUUCUGCAGGUGUUGGUUUUGUUUGUGAGAUGAUGGGACUGUACUGGGUUGCAGCUGAAGUUAAUUGUGCUGGUAAGAACUCAGUUUGAAACGCAAUUUGAAGAUUCUUGCACUAUUUCAGUUUAUAACCAGCAUGGAUGAAGAAAAUCCUAAUGAGAAAGGAAAUCCUCCAAAGAUGAUCAAUCCUCAGGAGGUAACCCGAAUCGCGGCUUAAUUGACAUGGAAGAUUUUGCGGAGCAUAAGUAAUAUUUGUGAGCUGCCAGCAAUAUCCAGUGUUUGUAAAACAAGGGCCCUACACUUGCUGAAAUUUAUUUAAGGAAUCAAAGAUGCGGGUCAAGAUCGAUUGCAUCUCCUCUAGGAAGAUUUCUGUAUUACAUAGAUCUAAUGCUUACUGACCAGUUAAAGUAUUUCAUUGAAUUUUUUUACUUGCGAAACUAGAUCAAUCCUUGCUAUUAAACACAAUUUAAUUAGAAAAUUAUCUGUGUACUAUUUUGACAUUGGUUAAAUUGUUAAACACAGUAAUGGUCAUACGUCUAUUUGGACACCCAACAUCCGGAUGCAUAUCCAAAGUUAUUUUCUGUAGUUCUCAUUUCAUGAUGACCUGAAUUGCAAAAGUAGUAUGUGGUAGUUACAUUUCCUUUCUGGGAAAUUGUUUACUGAUAUUUGGAUAUGCUUAUUUAUUGAUAUAGGUAUCUGGCGCAAAAAGCUGUAGCAAACACCAUCGGCUCAAUCAAAUUUUCAAAGAAGAAUUUUACUAAUGAUGCGCUGGUAAGAGUAUUGCCUUUUAUCAUUGUCGAAUGUUUGACAUAUCACUUCUGGUGCAUGUUCUAAUUUUUCUUUUCGGCUUGUCAUAAUUUGUUGAGCUCCUAUUCGUCGAAAUAUGACUGCUUUUCAAAGAGUUCUAUUUUUGUCAUCUGGACAUCCUUCACUUGCUUCAAAUGUGUAGGAGCACCAGCUUAAGUGUGGGGUAUCAAGUAAUGUGGACCAGCAUGACAUCGCUAUCGUUGGAGGAGGCAUGGUAGGAAUUGCUCUUGCUUGUGCUCUGUGUAAGUUCCAUGCAACAAUUUGGCCAACUUGGCUGCCAUGGUCACUGAUUGAAACUAAAGUUUUUUCAGCACAGAUCAGAGUGAAAGGGAGAUGUGACUGCGGAUUAGCUAACUUUGUUUUCUCUCAGUUUUAUGUGAUGUAUGAGAGAGCAAAUCAGUCUUGUUCUGAUCUUUUAUCAUGUAAGCCUGUAAGCAACUGCAGUGGUGCGAUCAAAACCAAAGAUCAAAGAUCAAAAAAAAGACCAAAAUUUGGGUUUA